CGAUACGUACAAGGUUUAUUCCGCAAUAUUGUUUUCUCGCGAGGAUUGACGAGAUCAUCAGCGCUCUUCAAUACAACCCUUCGUUGAUCUAGGAUCAAAACAAACGAGUCAGUCUGGCCUACGUGCGGCAACGGUCUCAACAUGGACGCCAUAUACUUUUUCCUCCAGAUUCUUGUGUGUACCUUGGUAAUUCUGGAGGUCUUAGCCGUCCUCUUCUAUUUGUGUAAGACUUGCCAUGAUGAUGACAAGAGGCGCAGAGAAGAGUACGAGUUUUCCGCCGCCGAGUCCUUCGAGCUGACAAGCGCCGUCAUCAUUGAGCUUUCCCUGGACUCCACUGACGACAAGCCGAAGACAUAGCACUGUUCUCUUGGAAUUGCGGCUUGGACUCAUCCAGCGGAAACUCUGAACUACAACUGAAUUUCAGCCUCAAAACGAAUUUAUAUUUCCAUCACGUAAAUAAGAUUUUCGCGUAGAUAGGAUCAAGGUUUCACUGAAAGCUAUGCGCUACAAAGCCGAAAUUACUUUAUAUGAGUGGAAUAAUUGAUUCAGAUAUGGAUAAAUCCUUCUGAUGAAAAUAAUAAGCUACACUUUCAUAUUGUUGCUAUGGUUUGCAGUAUAUCCGCAGGGCUAUGUGUUUGGAAUAUGAUUGCGCUCCGUCCAAUUAUUGCUGGCGUACAAGGCGUAUGAUGUUUUUGCCUGACAUAUGUUGCCAUGUUUGGUCGUGUUUAUGUUAGUCAGUAGCUUCGCAUCUUCUUCAGCAGUGUAUAUAUUAAAUACUGUUAACAUUCACGAAGACCCUGGAGUCCAAAAUUGACUUCCUGUGACGUCACGACAAUUUGUGGGAAGAAUAUGAGUCAUCAGGGACAAGGUGAAUUUUCUACCGAGCAAGCAUUGCGCUGACAUUUCGAUUGAUUGGCUACUAUUAAUACUAAUAGCCAGCAAAUAACAGAACCAUUUAGCAACCACUGUUCCUGACUAGGUUGACCUUCACUUCAGUGAAGGACGCUCUCACAGUCUUAGACCAUGUUGAUUUGAUUUUAUGGAUGACAUCCACAGGGAAUCCAAAAACUGA